rnacentral:rRNA from 1 species
AGACGCGUGAGGAACCUGCCUUGGAGUGGGGGACAACAGUUAGAAAUGACUGCUAAUACCGCAUAAUGUUUUUAGAAGGGCAUCCUUUUUAAAACCAAAGCUUUAUGUGCUCUGAGAUGGCCUCGCGUCUGAUUAGAUAGUUGGUGAGGUAACGGCCCACCAAGUCUGCGAUCAGUAGCCGGACUGAGAGGUUGAACGGCCACAUUGGGACUGAGAUACGGCCCAGACUCCUACGGGAGGCAGCAGUGGGGAAUAUUGGGGCCAAUGGGGGAAACCCUGACCCAGCAACGCCGCGUGAAGGAAGAAGGCCUUCGGGUUGUAAACUUCUUUUACCAGGGACGAAGAAUGACGGUACCUGGAGAAAAAGCUACGGCUAACUACGUGCCAGCCGCUGC